rnacentral:rRNA from 1 species
UAAAUAGCGGGAUGUAGGAUCCGUAGGUGCUCUCGCGGCUUUGUGAACGUACCUCUGUUGCUUUGGCGGCUCCGGCCGCCAAAGGACCUCCAAACUCCAGUCAGUAAACGCAGACGUCUGAUAAACAAGUUAAUAAACUAAAACUUUCAACAACGGAUCUCUUGGUUCUGGCAUCGAUGAAGAACGCAGCGAAAUGCGAUAAGUAAUGUGAAUUGCAGAAUUCAGUGAAUCAUCGAAUCUUUGAACGCACAUUGCGCCCCUUGGUAUUCCGGGGGGCAUGCCUGUUCGAGCGUCAUUACAACCCUCAAGCUCUGCUUGGAAUUGGGCACCGUCCUCACUGCGGACGCGCCUCAAAGACCUCGGCGGUGGCUGUUCAGCCCUCAAGCGUAGUAGAAUACACCUCGCUUUGGAGUGGUUGGCGUCGCCCGCCGGACGAACCUUCUGAACUUUUCUCAAGGUUGACCUCGGAUCAGGUAGGGAUACCCGCUGAACUUAAGCAUAUCAUAAGCCCGGAGGAAGGAUCAUUAC